rnacentral:rRNA from 1 species
UACGUAGGGGGCAAGCGUUGUCCGGAAUCAUUGGGCGUAAAGCGCGUGUAGGCGGCUCGAUAAGUCUGCUGUGAAAGUCCAGGGCUCAACCCUGGGAUGCCGGUGGAUACUGUCGAGCUCGAGUCCGGAAGAGGAGUGUGGAAUUCCUGGUGUAGCGGUGAAAUGCGCAGAUAUCGGGAAGAACACCCGUGGCGAAGGCGGUUCUCUGGGACGGUACUGACGCUGAGACGCGAAAGCGUGGGGAGCGAACAGG